UGGGGAAUAUUGCACAAUGGACGAAAGUCUGAUGCAGCGACGCCGCAUGAGGGAAGAAGGUAUUCGUAUUGUAAACCUCUGUCUUCGGGGACGAUAAUGACGGUACCCGAGGAGGAAGCCACGGCUAACUACGUGCCAGCAGCCGCGGUAAAACGUAGGUGGCAAGCGUUGUCCGGAAUUACUGGGUGUAAAGGGAGCGCAGGCGGAAAGGUAAGUUGAAUGUGAAAUCUAUGGGCUCAACCCAUAAAUUGCGUUCAAAACUAUUUUUCUUGAGUGAAGUAGAGGCAAGCGGAAUUCCAGGUGUAGCGGUGGAAUGCGUAGAUAUCUGGAGGAACACCGGUGUCGAAGGCGGCUUGCUGGGCUUUUACUGACGCUGAGGCUCGAAAGCAUGGGUAGCAAACA
rnacentral:rRNA from 1 species